rnacentral:misc_RNA from 1 species
GAGUUAGCCUUAUUUAAUAUAAUAAGAGAGAGAUGCUUUUCAUAGCGUAGUCGUAGUUUCGUACCCAAGAUAAUGGGAAUCAACUUGCUUGCCCUCUGACCUUCUGAUAUGGCGCGGAGCCCAAGAAUCCGACAUGAAGAAGUGAAGAUUUACAUAGUGGUUUGGUCGAGCACGUCCUCGAUCAUGCACCGUAAGAACUGCUCCACUCCCUGACCGUUCACUCUUCGUGACAGUGAUGGCUGGCGGAAGAACUACCACAAGGGGUCCUAAGUCUUUGUCUAGGGUCAAGGGGAG